rnacentral:lncRNA from 1 species
UGACAGAGUAAGAGUCUGUCUCCAAAAAGAAAAAAAGAAAAAAAGAAGUUAACAAUAUUUACCAUGUGUAAAGUUUGUAAUUUACGAUGUGUAAAACAAGCCAAAAGUUGCCAAUUAUGAAAGCAGUCCAAAGCUAAUGUGAGAUUUCAUUUUUUUUGAAUACUAUGUAUCUAUCAGGUUGUUACUCCAGUUUCAUCACUGUUUGACAAUCUUGUCCUAAUGUCUUUUAAGAUUACAAGCUGAAACAUUAAAUGUCCAGUGUGAUUGUAUUGUAACAGCUGUUGGAAACAGUAUGGGACAGCAAAGUUAGACCAUUUUUACAUACCCCAGUGCUGCCUCUUGUUGCCUGUGCGUCAUCGUCAUUGGGCAAGUCAUAAUAAGAUAUAGUGGCAGGACAAGAUUGGUCACGAAAUCCUGGCUUCAGUUCUGACAGCACCAUUUUCAAGUUUUAGGCAAGGUA